rnacentral:lncRNA from 1 species
UCGCCGACACCCCCACCAGCUUCGCCGCCACCUCGCGAAGGUCAGGCGCUCGCUUGUCGCCGCCUCCAAGCCCCAACACCGCCGGAACCCCUGCCGUCCAACACCAUCCCUACCGCUCGCCAUCCACCGCCGUUCCGACCCCGCUCGAUGUUCUCCGCCCUCCCAACCACUGCCAAUCAACUUCCGGUGAGCUCCUCCGUCUUCCCCGCAAGUUCUUGCCCGGGAUUGGCCGGCACCUCACCGAAAUUU